rnacentral:rRNA from 1 species
GACGAACGCUGGCGGCGUGCUUAACACAUGCAAGUCGAACGGAAAGGCCCUGCUUUUGUGGGGUGCUCGAGUGGCGAACGGGUGAGUAACACGUGAGUAACCUGCCCUUGACUUUGGGAUAACUUCAGGAAACUGGGGCUAAUACCGGAUAGGAGCUCCUGCUGCAUGGUGGGGGUUGGAAAGUUUCGGCGGUUGGGGAUGGACUCGCGGCUUAUCAGCUUGUUGGUGGGGUAGUGGCUUACCAAGGCUUGGACGGGUAGCCGGCCUGAGAGGGUGACCGGCCACAUUGGGACUGAGAUACGGCCCAGACUCCUACAGGACGCAGCAGUGGGGAAUAGUGCACAAUGGGCGGAAGCCUGAUGCAGCAACGCCGCGUGCGGGAUGACGGCCUUCGGGUUGUAAACCGCUUUCGCCUGUGACGAAGCGUGAGUGACGGUAAUGGGUAAAGAAGCACCGGCUAACUACGUG